ACACGUAGGUGGCAAGCGUUAUUCGGAUUUACUGGGCGUAAAGGGUCCGCAGGGGGCCUGACAAGUCUGUCGUGAAAGGCCAAGGCUCAACCUUGGCACUGCGGUGGAAACAGUCGGGCUAGAGUCAGUGAGGGGCAGACGGAACACCUGGUGUAGCGGUGGAAUGCGUAGAUAUCAGGUGGAACACCUAUGGCGAAGGCGGUCUGCUGGCACAUGACUGACCCUCAGGGACGAAAGCGUGGGUAGCAAACAGGAUUAGAUACCCUGGUAGUCCACGCCGUAAACUUUGUGAACUAGAUGUGCCCGGGCUGGCCCCGGGCGUGUCCAAGCUAACGCGAUAAGUUCACCGCCUGGGGACUACGGCCGCAAGGCUAAA
rnacentral:rRNA from 1 species